GCAGCACGCCAUCAUGCCGGGGCAGGGUUUUGGGGUGGUUUUGGGUGUUUUUGGGCCCCCUGACCCCGUUUCUCCCUGCAGUGUGUCCAAGCAGCACGCCAUCAUGCCGGGGCAGGGUUUUGGGGUGGUUUUGGGUGUUUUUGGGCCCCCUGACCCCGUUUCUCCCUGCAGUGUGUCCAAGCAGCACGCCAUCAUGCCGGGGCAGGGUUUUGGGGUGGUUUUGGGUGUUUUUGGGCCCCCUGACCCCGUUUCUCCCUGCAGUGUGUCCAAGCAGCACGCCAUCAUGCCGGGGCAGGGUUUUGGGGUGGUUUUGGGUGUUUUUGGGCCCCCUGACCCCGUUUCUCCCUGCAGUGUGUCCAAGCAGCACGCCAUCAUGCCGGGGCAGGGUUUUGGGGUGGUUUUGGGUGUUUUUGGGCCCCCUGACCCCGUUUCUCCCUGCAGUGUGUCCAAGCAGCACGCCAUCAUGCCGGGGCAGGGUUUUGGGGUGGUUUUGGGUGUUUUUGGGCCCCCUGACCCCGUUUCUCCCUGCAGUGUGUCCAAGCAGCACGCCAUCAUGCCGGGGCAGGGUUUUGGGGUGGUUUUGGGUGUUUUUGGGCCCCCUGACCCCGUUUCUCCCUGCAGUGUGUCCAAGCAGCACGCCAUCAUGCCGGGGCAGGGUUUUGGGGUGGUUUUGGGUGUUUUUGGGCCCCCUGACCCCGUUUCUCCCUGCAGUGUGUCCAAGCAGCACGCCAUCAUGCCGGGGCAGGGUUUUGGGGUGGUUUUGGGUGUUUUUGGGCCCCCUGACCCCGUUUCUCCCUGCAGUGUGUCCAAGCAGCACGCCAUCAUGCCGGGGCAGGGUUUUGGGGUGGUUUUGGGUGUUUUUGGGCCCCCUGACCCCGUUUCUCCCUGCAGUGUGUCCAAGCAGCACGCCAUCAUGCCGGGGCAGGGUUUUGGGGUGGUUUUGGGUGUUUUUGGGCCCCCUGACCCCGUUUCUCCCUGCAGUGUGUCCAAGCAGCACGCCAUCAUGCCGGGGCAGGGUUUUGGGGUGGUUUUGGGUGUUUUNAUUGGGGAGUCGGUGGAACGGGAGGAGAUUGGGGAGUCGGUGGAACGGGAGGAGACGGAGAUUGGGGAGUCGGUGGAACGGGAGGAGACGCGGACCCCGCGCUGCCCCGACCCCGCCUCCAGCGCCAGGGUUGAGGAGCAGCGCCCGGAGCAGCUCUGGCAGUGAAACCGGGAGGAGGCCGGAGAAGGCUCGGGCAGGGGGCACAGGAGCCCCGAGACCCCCCCAGAUCCAAAGCUCGUUGUUCGUGCGGGUUUUGUUUGGCUCUCGGCCAGGAAAGGCGGAGCCUGCACCGGGGUCCCUCCGGGCAGUCGGGGUCCCUCCGGGCAGUCGGGGUCCCGGGGAGCACAGGCGUGGCACACCGAGCUGGCACCGGCUCGGGCGAAGCAGGAGCUGCCUGCUUGGGAUUCACGGUCACUCACCGGGAUUGUUCCCGGUGCUCCAGGGAGCCCGGCAGCCCCAAACUGCCUUUGAGCAGCUGAGCUCCGAGGUCCGAGCCAGCAGAAGGGACGGGGUUAUUUCUGAAGGGAUUUGGGCUCUGGAAGGACCAAGCUCAGGCCUUGGAAGGGGGGGGUGCCUGUAGCGACCCUCGCACAACCCACGGCCUCCUCUGGUGGUGCUGGAGCUGGGCCACAACCUCCUGAACCCACCCUGUUCCCCCACUCCUCCUUUAAUCUUCCCCGUCCCACAGCCUCGGGGCUCUCAGUCCAGCACAGUAAUGCUUCAAUGCGUCUGAAUCACUCCUCACUUCUCCCAGUUUGUCCAGUUUGCCGGAGGUUUCCAGCUUCCCAAAGCCCAAACCUGACUGGGAGAGAGACCGGGAAGCGUCACCGGGGUGGGGGGGCCUCAUCCCGGGAUGGCGUCGGCUCCAGAGGGGUUUCCAGGGACACCGGGCAGUGACAUUUGGGAUUUUUACUCCAUUUUCUGCCCACACCCUCUGUGUGUCCCGGGAAAAGCCGUGUCCUGAGCAGGGGAACGAAGGUGCUGGAGCCCGAGGUGCUGCACAACCCCCGAGGGGACGUGGAGAUCAAGGACACGUCGCCCUGGCGGGGUCGGUUUCAUCCGGCAGCACGGGCAGGUGAAUUCCAGCCCCUUCCCUCCUCCUGAACGGGCACUCGGAUCCCGAGAUGCCUCCCGAGGCCUGGCUGUGGUACCUGGGCAGCUCUGAGCACACCUGGAGGUGCACGCGGAGGUUUUUGCUCCUGCUCUGUUGUACUCAGAGUUUUUGCUCCAAUUUCUGCUGCUGCUCUGCAGCAAAGAAACCGAAAUGGCACCGCUGAAGCAGAGGCUGAUUCCUUAUUUAUCCACGUUGGCGUUUCCAGCGGCAGGAGGGUUUUCCUUCUCCUCCCUCUGGGAAGGAGCCAGGCCGAGGGCAGCCAGGUGUGCUCAGGGGAGUGAAGGAAGGUGGGACUGGCACAGCAGGUGCAGAUCUCAGAGUCCCAGGAUCACUGAGGCUGGAAAACCCCUCCGGGAUCAUCGAGUCCAAGCUGUGCCCGAUCCCUGAGCACCGAGUGCCACGUCCAGGUGACACCUCCAGGGAUGGGGGCUCCGAACCUCCUUGGGCAGCCCCUGCCAAGGCUUGAGCACCCUUUCCAUGGAGAAAUUCCUCGGAAAUUCCACCCUGAGCCUCUCCUGGCCCAGCCUGAGGCCGUUCCCUCUCCUCCUGUCCCUGUUCCCCGGGAGAAGAUCCCAAAUCCCCCCCGGCUGCCCCCUCCCGUCAGGGACCUGCGCAGAGCCAGAAAUUCCCCCUGAUCCCCCUUUUCUCCGGGUUGAGCUCCUUUCCCAGCUCCCUCAGCUCCUGCCGGUGCUGCUGGGGGUGUGCAGGAAGGGCUGGGACUGGGCAGGGACGUGAGGGGACCUCAGAGAGCCCGGGGCAGCCGGCCCAGCACGGCCCAGCACGGCCGGGCCCGGGUGUCCGUUCGGGAGGGGCCGGGCCGGGCGCUGCCCCUGCGGCUCGGGGCCACUUCCGAGGGCGGCCCGCGGGGACAUCCCGCUCAGGGCCGGGGGGCUCCGGGCUCUCCCUCUGCGGGCAGCGGCUGCGGGAACGCGGGGGGCGGGCGGACGUCCAGGGGCAGCGAGAGGCGCUCGCCCGUCCUGACAGCCCCGGCCACACCCCGGCCCUUGGGCCAGCGGGCGGCGGCAGCCAGGGGUGCCCAGGGACCCCCGCCCCCGGCGCUUGGCCCAGCGACCCCAAAUCCCCCCCCAGCGACCCCAAAUCCCGUCCCAGCGACCCCAAAUCCCGUCCCAGCGAUCCCGAAUUCCCCCCCAGCGAUCCCAAAUCUCGUCCCAGCGAUCCCAAAUCCCCCCCAGCGAUCCCAAAUUCCUUUUGGUUUUGGCUUGUCUGGGUUUUUCUCCCUGGGGAAUCGUCCCCGUGCGCUGCCGGGAGGCGACAUCGCCGGGACAAUGCCCCGAGCCGGAAGCGCGGCCUCCACCGGCGGCGUCUCGCGGAGCUAUCGCGAGAUUUGGGCCGGGAGCGCUCCCAUUGGCUGCGGGGCCGGAAGCGCGGACGCCCCCUGGCGGCGAGCGGAGCCCAUGGCGGCGGGGGUCGCGCGGCUGCUGCGCGCUCGUGAGUGGGGGGGGGGGCGACCCCGGGAGGGCCCGUGACCCCCCCGGAGCACGUG
rnacentral:lncRNA from 13 species